rnacentral:rRNA from 1 species
UACGUAGGUGGCAAGCGUUGUCUGGAUUUACUGGGCGUAAAGAGCGCGCAGGCGGUCGUUCAAGUCGCGUGUGAAAGCCCCCGGCUCAACUGGGGAGGGUCACGCGAUACUGAUCGACUGGAAGGCAGGAGAGGGUAGUGGAAUUCCCGGUGUAGUGGUGAAAUUCGUAGAUAUCGGGAGGAACACCAGUGGCGAAGGCGGCGACCUGGGCAGAUACUGACGCUGAGGUGCGAAAGCGUGGGGAGCAAACAGG